CAAAGUGACUGAUCUUAAUUUAAGUAACACGUAUUGAAAAAUACAGAAAGUAGAUAGGGACAAUUAGAAAAAAAUAGCAGCGUGGAACAAGGGACAAGAAAAUUAUCCAAUAUAUGUCAUGUUUUUUUCGCUAUGUCGCACUGCGGAAAAUAAAAUAAGAAAAUAGCAUGAUUUGCGCGAACGAAACGAAUAGAAGCUCGCGAUUCGCAAGCAGAACUGCGACGAAAUGAAACAGAGAGAGAAAGAUAAAGACAGGCGAGAGAAAUACAUGUUGAAACGGCAGACAAUCAAUAAGAAUAAAUAAACUGAAAAUAAAAGAAAAAAAAAAAAUUACAAAUUAUACAUAAAACUAAGAAGCCAUAAAUUAAAUUAACAUAAUUUCAAAGAUUAAUUACACAAAUGAAAAUAAAAGUAAAUUUAAAUUGGUGUUAAGAAAGAAAGUAAUGAUUAAUAGAGAUAAAGAUAGACUUGGAUAAAAGAGUAAUGAAGUACGUCAAACAUAAAGCACCAGUAAGAAGAAAAACUUAAACUGGUUAAUGAAAAAGAAAAAAAAAAAAGAAAAAAAAAAGAAAAAAAAAAAGAAAAAAAAAGGAAAAAAAAAAAACAAAACCAUUGAAAAUAAAAUCAGAUCAUAAUAAUAAUAAAGAAUUAAUAUUUAAGAACGGUCAAACAGUGCGGAGAUUGGACUUGCGGACUAACCAUAUAGUAAUCCUGAGAGGGGGAUCUGCCUGUCACAGAUACAUUCUGCACCAGAGUUCUUUUGCUCGUCUGAAACUAAUGCAGGAUAUAUCGCAAGAUCAAAAGGGCUAAAACAUGAGGUACGCAUCAUCGAGGUAACACGGCAAAGAACUCAAAUGAAAAUGCAAACCAAGUGGAUAAUCGACUGACAGUGGCACAACGGUGAUCAGAAGUGGCUGAGAAAGGAAAGCAAACGAACAGAGAGACAUAUAGGCUGUUUCAGAGUUGCUAAACGUAUAACAGAUAUCCGAGUUUCAAUAUGAUUACAAGAGGCCUGCAACUACGAAACAACCAGUAAUAUAUGCACACAUACAAGAAAAAUGUUGCGACGUGUAAAAAAAUGAGCCAACGAACGAGGGGAUGCAAUGUGAGGUGCAAUGCGGACAAAGUGAGCGAUAAAUGCGGCUUUCUUCUGAUGAAAAACGAUCGUAUGUAUGGAUGAUAUCUAUGUAGCAUGUGAUGUGCAUGAUGACAAAAGAGAUACUUUUGAGCUUGUUAGGAGAAGGGCGACAGCGAUAUAAAUAUAAUUGACAAAAAAAAAAGAAAAAAAAAGUGAAAAAAAUAAAUACAAUGAUAAUGAGAGGGAGGAUCAAAACGUUUUGAGGAAAUGGUGCCCACAUGAUCUGAUAAAUUUUAAGAUUAAGUGGAGAUGCAAGAUCUCCGUUACCUGUACAAAGGAGGGACAAUUUUUCAAGUAAAGCUCAAGAAAAAUCCGCAACUACUUCUCUAUAUAUAUAUAUAUAUCCUACAACAAAUGGCUCAGUAAAAGCUUCAACAAAGCGCGAAUGCAGAAGAUUAAUAUUAAAAGAUGUGAGAAAUAGAACCCCAUAUUAUUAUAUGCAUGUGUUUCAUUACUUCAUUUUCCAUAAUUGUAACACGUGCUUGUUUUUAUUGCGGAUCAGAACAACCACACAGAAGCAUCCCAGUUAUACAUAUAUAUAUGUAUAUGUAUAUGUAUACAUUGAUAACCAUUUCUUUUAUUCAAUUUAUGCUUAUGUUAUUUUUCUCAAAUGUUUCUUUUCUUCUAUUUUUGCCUUUUUAUCAUAUUGUUAGUGCGCUCAACGCGAGAGCAGCGAAAAUUAUUAUUAGUCCCAAUUCGCAAGGUAUUCCCUAACCUCGUCUUGCGAAUUGGGAGAUGACCUAAGCGGACAGAGAAAAAUAAAUGCAAAGAGAAUGAAAAAAAAAAUCGGUUUGAAAAGAAGAAAGUUUUCGGCUCCGUGCGUGUGAUGAAUAGAAAUGGGGAUCGAGAAAGAACAAGAACGAAACCAGAGGAAGAGACAAACAAGAAGGAGAGAAAUAUAUAUAUAUAUAUAUAAAUGUAUAGACAUAGAAACAGAUAGAGAAACAGAAAAAAAAAAGAGAGAAAGACAGAGAUAAAUAGUUAAAAAGUUAUAAGUUAUUGAAAGAACAUAGUCGAAACAGCUCCGACAAGAGAAUAGAGUGAUUACAGAUAAAGCGCUAAGCGCAAAAAUACCGCUUUAUAUUAUAAUAAUAACUCUAAUUAUUCCGAAUUUUCAGCUUUGCAUGAGAACUUCGGAAUCAAAAGUUUAUAAACUUGAACUCAAGUUCAAGCACGCUACUGAGAUCCCUUGCACCAAAACAAAAAACGCAAAUAUAUUACAAUACGUGUGUGAUAUAUUGUGAGUGACGAAUAUUUAGUGGAUCGUCAAAACGCUGUUUUCAUUAGUUACUCUUUCACACAAACAAGUACGUAGACGUCAGAGAAGGAUCUUCAGUCAUGCAAUGACUAAUAUUGAAGUUUAAGUUCUUUUUUUAAGACAAGACACGAGUAACAGUUUACUAUCCACUAAGCAAACUAAUACUCAUUUUUUUAUAAACUCUACGUACUACAGUAUCUAAAUAAAUAAAUACAUGCUUAACAAAUUUCCAAGAAUUCUUACUUCCACAAUAAUAAUAUAUCAAUAUUCCAGAUAUCCUUAAAUAUCUUUUUGAAUUUUUUAUGACACUUUAAUAACAUUCUCUUAUAAUAUUCAUUUCUUCCAUUAAUUUUGAGUUCAAAAUGUUUUAAAGACCUGUCUAUACUGACAAACAUUGUCCUCAAACAAUCCGUGUACAUUAUUUGUCAGCAGUCAGAGUAAUAUUGCUUGGAUCAUGCACACAGAUCAUAUCACAGGAAGUGUCGUGCGUUCACAUUUAGUUUAUCAGCUGAAAUAUAGAUCAAUAGUUAAUCGAUGAAAUUAUCCCAGGAUAUAUUUUAUCUUCUAUUUAUUUACAGAUUGUCGGAGAAUAAUUAUUUGUCAAUACAGAUUAAUCCUUUAUUCAUUCUCUGUAGAAUAAUUUUCAACUUCUUAUACCUAUAAUUCAAAAAUAUAUAUAUAUACAAUCUAUAUAUUCAGAUACUGUGGUACUUUCUUAUUCAAUUUUCUAUCUUCGAACAUUCAAAGUUUCUUUCACAGAAGAAACUUGGAACAUUUUAUCAUUUGGCCAGCAUUAACGUAAAAUUACAAGAAGAGGGGAGCGAGGGAACAACUGAGCACGCGCGAUCAUUCUUGUCCAAUGUAUUCAAUUCAAAUCACAGUGUUCAUCAUGUCAUUAUUUAAAUUGAAUUCCUUUCAAUAUAUCCGAGCAUCUAAGGAGCAUGCUACGUAAAGCGUAUGUAUAUUAGUAUGGAGUGAAAGACAUAUGACGAGCAAAAGCAAUAGAAAAAGGAAUUUGUAAAAGCGAAAACAUAAACCAAUAGAAGCGCUACGAUAUAUCAUAUACAGCUAUAUCAAUAAUAAUAAUUAAUAUGAGUUCCA